rnacentral:rRNA from 1 species
GACGAACGCUGGCGGCGUGCUUAACACAUGCAAGUCGAACGGGAAGGCCCUGCUUCUGGGGGUUGCUCGAGUGACGAACGGGUAACCAACACGUGAGUUACCUGUACUUGCCUGAGGGCUGACUUAAGGAAACUGGAUGUAAUACGGGCUAGGAUUUCUUGCUUCUUGGUGGGGGUGUGAUAGUUUAGGUGGUUGGGGUUGGACUAGAGGCCUAUCUGCUUGUUGGUGGGGUAGUGGCUGACCAGGGCUUGGAAGGGUGGCCGGCCUGGGAGGGUGACCGGCCAAGUUGGGACUGAGAUACGGCCCGGACUCCUACGGGAGGCAACGGUGGGGAAGAUUGCACAAUGGGCGGAAGCCUAAUGCAGCAACGCCGCGUGCGGGAAGACGGCCUUCGGGUUGUAAACCGAUUUCGCCUGUGACGAAGCGUGAGUGACGGUAAUGGGUGAAGAAGCACCGGCUAACUACGUG